CACUGCCUGUUCCAAAAGGCCAUAUCGGUAAUUUCCUAUGCGAGUUGGAUUACACUGGAUGAUUUUAAGUUGAUUUGGUUGUUUUUUCACAUUCACAACUUCAGCAGAUGACAGACAGCAUUUUUACUGUGAAGCAAGAAGCAGAAACUUUUUGUGGACUACGACACUUAAUGCUACUUUCCAUCAGCAUCAGGAGGUACAGAAGUAUCCACCGCUGUACCACCAGACUAUGGGGUGGUGAGACUCCUUCACUCAUCCUCAACACCACACUGUGACAAGGGCAGCUACAUGCAAGGACAGCGUGUAAAAGCAGAAGAAGAAGAAGAAGAAGAAGAAGAAGAAGAAGAAGAAGAAGAAGAAGAAGAAGAGGAUGAAGUGGUGGAAAGGAUCUGUCCGUCUGGAACGACACAUGCAGAGAGGAGGAUAAAAGAUUCAGAGGGAGGCAGCGCAGAUUAUUAUACAAGAAGA